UACAGAGGUGGCAAGCGUUGUUCGGAAUUACUGGGCGUAAAGGGCGCGUAGGUGGCCUUCUUAGUCAGACGUGAAAUCCCCGGGCUUAACUCGGGAACUGCGUCUGAUACUGGAAGGCUGGAGUUCGGGAGAGGAAUGUGGAAUUCCAGGUGUAGCGGUGAAAUGCGUAGAUAUGUGGAGGAACACCAGUGGCGAAGGCGACUUUCUGGCCUAUAACUGACGCUGAGGCGCGAAAGCAUGGGGAGCGAACAGG
rnacentral:rRNA from 1 species